rnacentral:rRNA from 1 species
AGAGUUUGAUCCUGGCUCAGAUUGAACGCUGGCGGAAUGCUUUACACAUGCAAGUCGAACGGCAGCACGGGAGCUUGCUCCUGGUGGCGAGUGGCGAACGGGUGAGUAAUGCGUCGGAACGUACCGAGUAAUGGGGGAUAACGCACCGAAAGGUGUGCUAAUACCGCAUACGCCCUGAGGGGGAAAGCAGGGGAUCGUAAGACCUUGCGUUAUUCGAGCGGCCGACGUCUGAUUAGCUAGUUGGUGGGGUAAAGGCCUACCAAGGCGACGAUCAGUAGCGGGUCUGAGAGGAUGAUCCGCCACACUGGAACUGAGACACGGUCCAGACUCCUACGGGAGGCAGCAGUGGGGAAUUUUGGACAAUGGGGGCAACCCUGAUCCAGCCAUUCCGCGUGAGUGAAGAAGGCCUUCGGGUUGUAAAGCUCUUUCAGCUGGAACGAAACGGUACGCUCUAACAUAGCGUGCUAAUGACGGUACCAGCAGAAGAAGCACCGGCUAACUACGUGCCAGCAGCCGCGGUAAUACGUAGGGUGCGAGCGUUAAUCGGAAUUACUGGGCGUAAAGCGUGCGCAGGCGGAUUGUUAAGCAAGACGUGAAAUCCCCGGGCUUAACCUGGGAAUGGCGUUUUGAACUGGCAGUCUAGAGUGUGUCAGAGGGGGGUAGAAUUCCACGUGUAGCAGUGAAAUGCGUAGAGAUGUGGAGGAAUACCAAUGGCGAAGGCAGCCCCCUGGGAUAACACUGACGCUCAUGUACGAAAGCGUGGGUAGCAAACAGGAUUAGAUACCCUGGUAGUCCACGCCCUAAACGAUGUCAACUGGUUGUUGGGGGAGUGAAAUCCCUUAGUAACGAAGCUAACGCGUGAAGUUGACCGCCUGGGGAGUACGGUCGCAAGAUUAAAACUCAAAGGAAUUGACGGGGACCCGCACAAGCGGUGGAUGAUGUGGAUUAAUUCGAUGCAACGCGAAAAACCUUACCUACCCUUGACAUGUCCAGAAUCCUGCAGAGAUGCGGGAGUGCCCGAAAGGGAAUUGGAACACAGGUGCUGCAUGGCUGUCGUCAGCUCGUGUCGUGAGAUGUUGUGUUAAGUCCCGCAACGAGCGCAACCCUUAUCAUUAGUUGCUACGCAAGGGCACUCUAAUGAGACUGCCGGUGACAAACCGGAGGAAGGUGGGGAUGACGUCAAGUCCUCAUGGCCCUUAUGGGUAGGGCUUCACACGUCAUACAAU